rnacentral:rRNA from 1 species
AUUUGUAGAGGAUGCUUUUGGCGAGGUGCCUUCCGAGUUCCCUGGAACGGGACGCCACAGAGGGUGAGAGCCCCGUAUGGUCGGACACCGAGCCUCUGUAAAGCUCCUUCGACGAGUCGAGUAGUUUGGGAAUGCUGCUCAAAAUGGGAGGUAUAUGUCUUCUAAAGCUAAAUAUUGGCCAGAGACCGAUAGCGCACAAGUAGAGUGAUCGAAAGAUGAAAAGCACUUUGAAAAGAGGGUUAAAAAGUACGUGAAAUUGUUGAAAGGGAAGCGCCUAUGACCAGACUUGCGCCCGGUGAAUCACCCAGCGUUCUCGCUGGUGCACUUUGCCGGGCACAGGCCAGCAUCAGUUCAGCGCGGGGGAGAAAGGCUUCGGGAAUGUGGCUCCCUCGGGAGUGUUAUAGCCCGCUGCGUAAUGCCCUGCGCCGGACUGAGGUACGCGCAUUGCAAGGAUGCUGGCGUAAUGGUCAUCANCGACCCGUCUUGAAACACGGACCAAGGAGUCNUCUUCNUAUGCGAGUGUUCGGGUGUCAAACCCCUACGCGUAAUGAAAGUGAACGCAGGUGAGAGCUUCGGCGCAUCACCGACCGAUCCUGAUGUUCUCGGAUGGAUUUGAGUAAGAGCAUACGGGGCCGGACCCGAAAGAAGGUGAACUAUGUCUGUAUAGGGUGAAGCCAGAGGAAACUCUGGUGGAGGCUCGCAGCGGUUCUGACGUGCGAAUCGAUCGUCAAAUAUGGG